rnacentral:lncRNA from 1 species
UGUUGGCAGAUUUUAAGAAUUUAGACAAUAAGUAGAAUACAAGUGUACUGGUUAACAAAUUUAAAAUUUUUUAUACAAACAUGCAGCUUGGAUUUCAAAAACUCCCUUCAUUCAUAUAUCGAAGUUUUCCGAAAAUCACAACGCUAUAUAUGUUUCAAUGCAAAAUCUUUCAUAUGCUUCUCAAUUAUCACAUACACAAUUUUGAC